rnacentral:hammerhead_ribozyme from 1 species
CCCCAGAUGAAGAGUUCCAAAUGGGACGAAACGCGCGUCAAUGUGG